GAAGCUCAGGAGGGAUAGCGCCUAGGAAAUCACACAUAGAUUGGAGCCACGAAGAGGAAGGGAGAAUGAGAGAGAGAGAGACAGAGCAGCUAUGCUGCUCUGUCUCUCUCUCUCACUUUCUCUUGGAUCCAUCUCAAGGUUCUGUCUAUAUAUGAUGAAUCGAUCCGAAGCGCUAUCUAUCCUGAGCUCCAC